CCUACGGGUGGCAGCAGUGAGGAAUAUUGGUCAAUGGGCGUAAGCCUGAACCAGCCAAGUCGCGUGAGGGAUGAAUGUUCUAUGGAUCGUAAACCUCUUUUAUAAGGGAAUAAAGUGUGGGACGUGUCCUAUUUUGUAUGUACCUUAUGAAUAAGGAUCGGCUAACUCCGUGGCAGCAGCCGCGGUAAUACGGAGGAUCCGAGCGUUAUCCGGAUUUAUUGGGUUUAAAGGGUGCGUAGGUGGCCUUUUAAGUCAGCGGUGAAAGUUUGUGGCUCAACCAUAGAAUUGCCGUUGAAACUGGGGGUCUUGAGUAUGUUUGAGGCAGGCGGAAUGCGUGGUGUAGCGGUGAAAUGCUUAGAUAUCACGCAGAACCCCGAUUGCGAAGGCAGCCUGCCAAGCCGUGACUGACGCUGAUGCACGAAAGCGUGGGGAUCAAACAGGAUUAGAUACCCUGGUAGUC
rnacentral:rRNA from 1 species